rnacentral:rRNA from 1 species
UACGAAGGGGGCUAGCGUUGCUCGGAAUCACUGGGCGUAAAGGGUGCGUAGGCGGGUCUUUAAGUCAGGGGUGAAAUCCUGGAGCUCAACUCCAGAACUGCCUUGAUACUGAAGAUCUUGAGUUCGGGAGAGGUGAGUGGAACUGCGAGUGUAGAGGUGAAAUUCGUAGAUAUCGCAAGAACACCAGUGGCGAAGGCGGCUCACUGGCCCGAUACUGACGCUGAGGCACGAAAGCGUGGGGAGCAACA